rnacentral:rRNA from 1 species
AUUGAACGCUGGCGGCAUGCCUUACACAUGCAAGUCGAACGGUAACAGGUCUUCGGAUGCUGACGAGUGGCGAACGGGUGAGUAAUACAUCGGAACGUGCCUAGUAGUGGGGGAUAACUACUCGAAAGAGUGGCUAAUACCGCAUGAGGUCUACGGAUGAAAGCAGGGGAUCGCAAGACCUUGCGCUACUAGAGCGGCCGAUGGCAGAUUAGGUAGUUGGUGGGAUAAAAGCUUACCAAGCCGACGAUCUGUAGCUGGUCUGAGAGGACGAUCAGCCACACUGGGACUGAGACACGGCCCAGACUCCUACGGGAGGCAGCAGUGGGGAAUUUUGGACAAUGGGCGCAAGCCUGAUCCAGCAAUGCCGCGUGCAGGAUGAAGGCCUUCGGGUUGUAAACUGCUUUUGUACGGAACGAAAAGCCCUGGAUUAAUACCCUGGGGUCAUGACGGUACCGUAAGAAUAAGCACCGGCUAACUACGUGCCAGCCGCCGCAGUAAAAC